UACGUAGGGUGCGAGCGUUAAUCGGAUUUACUGGGCGUAAAGCGUGCGCAGGCGGCCCGUUAAGACAGGCGUGAAAUCCCUGGGCUCAACCUAGGAAUUGCGCUUGUGACUGGCGGGCUCGAGUACGGUAGAGGGGGGUGGAAUUCCUGGUGUAGCAGUGAAAUGCGUAGAGAUCAGGAGGAACACCGAUGGCGAAGGCAGCCCCCUGGGCCUGUACUGACGCUCAUGCGCGAAAGCGUGGGGAGCAAACAGG
rnacentral:rRNA from 1 species